rnacentral:rRNA from 1 species
UGAGUAACCUGCCCUUAACUCUGGGAUAAGCCUGGGAAACUGGGUCUAAUACCGGAUAUGACUCCUCAUCGCAUGGGUGGGGGGUGGAAAGCUUUAUUGUUGGUUUUUGGAUGGACUCGCGGCCUAUCAGCUUGUUGGUGAGGUAAUGGCUCACCAAGGCGACGACGGGUAGCCGGCCUGAGAGGGUGACCGGCCACACUGGGACUGAGACACGGCCCAGACCUCCGUACGGGAGGCAG